ACAGGUGGUGCGAUGGUUGUCGUCAGCUCGUGUCGUGAGAUGUUGGUUAAGUCCGCAACGAGCGCAACCCUCGACCUUAGUUGCCAGCAUUCAGUUGGGCACUCUGAGGUGACUGCCGGCUAAAAGUCGGAGGAAGGUGGGAUGACGUCAAAUCAUCAUGCCCUUAUGACCUGGGCUACACACGUGCUACAAUGGGCGGUACAAAGGGUCGCGAACCCGCGAGGGGGAGCCAAUCCCAAAAAGCCGCUCUCAGUUCGGAUUGCAGGCUGCAACUCGCCUGCAUGAAGCCGGAAUCGCUAGUAAUCGCGGAUCAGCAUGCCGCGGUCGAAUACGUUCCCGGGCCUU
rnacentral:rRNA from 1 species